rnacentral:rRNA from 1 species
GACGAACGCUGGCGGCGUGCUUAACACAUGCAAGUCGAGCGGUAAGGCCCUUUCGGGGGUACACGAGCGGCGAACGGGUGAGUAACACGUGGGUGACCUGCCCUUCACUCUGGGAUAAGCCUGGGAAACUGGGUCUAAUACCGGAUAUGACUCAUGAUCGCAUGGUUGUGGGUGGAAAGUUUUUUCGGAGGGGGAUGGGCCCGCGGCCUAUCAGCUUGUUGGUGGGGUGAUGGCCUACCAAGGCGACGACGGGUAGCCGGCCUGAGAGGGCGACCGGCCACACUGGGACUGAGACACGGCCCAGACUCCUACGGGAGGCAGCAGUGGGGAAUAUUGCGCAAUGGGCGGAAGCCUGACGCAGCGACGCCGCGUGGGGGAUGACGGCCUUCGGGUUGUAAACCUCUUUCGACCUCGACGAAGCCUUUGGGUGACGGUAGGGGUAGAAGAAGCACCGGCCAACUACGUGCCAGCCGCCGCGGUAAGAC